rnacentral:rRNA from 1 species
ACGGGGGGAGCAAGCGUUGUUCGGAAUCACUGGGCGUAAAGGGCGUGUAGGCGGUUAGGUUAGUGGGAUGUGAAAUGCCCCGGCUCACCCGGGGACCUGCAUCCCAAACUGCCCGACUUGAGUAUGGGAGAGGAUGAGGGAAUUCCUGGUGUAGCGGUGAAAUGCGUAGAUAUCAGGAGGAACACCGGUGGUGUAGACGGCUCUCUGGACCGUAACUGACGCUGAGACACGAAAGCGUGGGUAGCAAACAGGA